UGGGGGUGGUGGAGCAAUCAGACCUUCUUUUAACGUCUUCACCUGCCAGCGCAACUGGGGAAGUUUCAAGACGGAAGGGAGACAGAAGCGCCCCUGGGGAAGGUGAAGGAGCAGUCUCGUGACUGACAGCAAUGAGUUCUGCAUCCUGAAGCCGCCCAGGCGGGACGUGGAGCUGGCGCCUGGCGGUGGACCCCGCCAGGAGGGACUGAGGCUGGCCCGCUUUCCUGGGGUUUGCAGAGCCACAGGCUGUUUACAAACUGCCUUUUCUGCCCACUGGCUCUCUUAAUGCUCACGACAGCCCAGACAGCAGUCCAACUGAGUGUCUAUUCAACAUCAACUCUGUGCCCAGUAGAGGAGGCAAGGCAUAGAAAACAACUGGAGAUGAAUCAACAGCUGCAUCAGGUUCAGCAGACAUUCAGCUGUAUCUCGCCCUACCCUGGGUGGGGCAGGCAUCCCAUUGGUUCUCGCAGGUUGGAUGUCUACAAGCCUCCAGGGAAUGAACAAAUAACAAAGGAAAUGGCUGACAAAGGGAAAAUUAUGAUGUGAGAAUUUCACUAAAGAAUUUAGCCCACUUUACUCUGUUCGCAAAGGCCCUGGAAUUGGCCCCGAACUGGGGUUUAGGGAAUCUAUCAUUUGUUCCCACGGUGUCCUUAUUAGCCAGGCAACCUGGGCAGAGUUUAAACCUCAAGGAUCUUCCUGUUCUCAUCUGUCAAAUUGGGCUAAUGAUGUCAAUCCACCCCACGAGUCUCUCUACUGUCGGUGUCCCAGGUAAGGAAAGGAUUGUAUGAGUCAUGGAAAGUAAGGUUACACUUGUUCCCUGCUGAAAGUCACAUGCUCACCUCCAGGUCCUGCCCCCACAUAGGGCAGAGUUAGAAUGCAGCAGGAUUGCUCUGGACUUCUCCGGGGGGAGAAGGGACUCAGGGCUCCUUCACUCCCAAGAGCAAGCUGCCACUGCCCUCUAGUGACAGCAUUCUGUCCAGACCAGGUGCCUGUGUCCACCCCUCUGGCUAAUGGGGGAAAACAGAUCUUUUUCUUGACAGGACUCUUUCUGACCAACCUUUUCUCAAAAAAGCCGUGCCUCAAAAUUCUCCAUAUUCUUGCUCUGUGUGGUGAUUGCUGUUCUUAUCUAUCAUAUUCUAAGAACUAGCAAGUAUUUUUCAAGUGUCUGCUAUGGGGGGUGGGCAAUGUGCCAGGCACUGAAGUGACAGUCCUCCCCUCCUCCCACCUCCCUCUGCUGCCCAUUGUCCCUUAGGAGGGGGACAUCUCAGACCAGUCGUCUUCAGGAUGUCAGCCUUCUGGAAACUUUCCAGAGAUAA